rnacentral:misc_RNA from 1 species
GAAAUGCGAUAAGUAGUGUGAAUUGCAGAAUUCAGUGAAUCAUCGAAUCUUUGAACGCACAUUGCGCCCCUUAGUAUUCCAUGGGGCAUGCCUGUUCGAGCGUCAUUUGUACCCUCAAGCUCUGCUUGGUGUUGGGUGUUUGUCCCGUCUCCGCGCGUGGACUCGCCCCAAAGUGAUUGGCAGCCGGCGUACUGGUCCCGGAGCGCAGCACAUGUCGCGCAAACGAGUGCCUUGGUACGGCGGCGUCCAUAAGCCCCUCUCUCACGCUCUUGACCUCGGAUCAGGUAGGGAUACCCGCUGAACUUAAGC